rnacentral:rRNA from 1 species
GCAGUCGAACGGUGAAGCGGGUGCUUGCACUCGUGGAUCAGUGGCGAACGGGUGAGUAACACGUGAGUAACCUGCCCUCCACUCUGGGAUAAGCGCUGGAAACGGCGUCUAAUACUGGAUACGACCGACCCUCGCAUGGGGUGUUGGUGGAAAGAUUUAUCGGUGGUGGAUGGACUCGCGGCCUAUCAGCUUGUUGGUGGGGUAAUGGCCUACCAAGGCGACGACGGGUAGCCGGCCUGAGAGGGCGACCGGCCACACUGGGACUGAGACACGGCCCAGACUCCUACGGGAGGCAGCAGUGGGGAAUAUUGCACAAUGGGCGAAAGCCUGAUGCAGCGACGCCGCGUGAGGGAUGACGGCCUUCGGGUUGUAAACCUCUUUCAGCAGGGAAGAAGCUUUUGUGACGGUACCUGCAGAAGAAGCACCGGCUAACUACGUGCCAGCAGCCGCGGUAAUACGUAGGGUGCGAGCGUUGUCCGGAAUUAUUGGGCGUAAAGAGCUUGUAGGCGGUUUGUCGCGUCUGCUGUGAAAAUUCAGGGCUUAACCCUGGACGUGCAGUGGGUACGGGCAGACUACAGUAUGGUAUGGGAGACUGGAAUUCCUGGUGUAGCGGUGGAAUGCGCAGAUAUCAGGAGGAACACCGAUGGCGAAGGCAGGUCUCUGGGCCAUUACUGACGCUGAGAAGCGAAAGCAUGGGGAGCGAACAGGAUUAGAUACCCUGGUAGUCCAUGCCGUAAACGUUGGGCGCUAGGCGUGGGUCUCAUUCCACGAGAUCCGUGUCGCAGCUAACGCAUUAAGCGCCCCGCCUGGGGAGUACGGCCGCAAGGCUAAAACUCAAAGGAAUU